rnacentral:rRNA from 1 species
UACGAGAGGCCCAAACGUUAUUCGGAAUUACUGGGCUUAAAGAGUUCGUAGGCGGCGCAGAAAGUAGGGUGUGAAAGCCCUCGGCUCAACCGAGGAAUUGCGCUCUAAACUACUGUGCUUGAGGAAUCUAGAGGUGAGCGGAACUGAUGGUGGAGCGGUGAAAUGCGCUGAUAUCAUCAGGAACACCGGAGGCGAAGGCGGCUCACUGGGGAUUUUCUGACGCUGAGGAACGAAAGCCAGGGGAGCGAACGGG